GUGGGAUUUAAGGUUGGGGAUGAAGGAUAAAGCUUGCCAAUGGCAGUGGAUGGUGGCUGUUUGUGUAGUCCUGGCUGACAUAAAUUGCAGGGACACCUUGAAAUCUUGUAACUUUAUGCAAUGGCUGUUAUCCGAAGAAGUGUGCCUUAGGUCUACAAUGUUGGUCAGAAUUGAAACUUGAAACUCUAUCAUGCUCCAUUGUUAAAACUAGAUAGUUAACCAAUUUUGAAUUUCAGGAGAUAACCAAGUUUUUCAAGCCUGAUGGCCACAGAACAUGAUAAAGUCAUCUAAAGAACAUAAUCCAAGUAUAGCAAAUACUUUUAAGCUGUUGAUUUUCUACAGUUUGUUUGAAGAUGGGCACCACGAUAAGCAUGCUCCAGAUUAAUGGGAGCUUUGAAGAUCAAAGUUUAUGAUAAAUUGGAUCAAGUGACUAAAUUUAUAUUGCCAUGCAAAUAGAGUUCUUUAAUCUUACUCGAUUUCUUUAUAUACUUGCAUGAGUGGAGGGAGCACGUAUGACUGUACUGCUUUAAUCAAUUUAUAUUUUGGUCAGCAAAAUGCUUUUCAGAAGUCAAAAACAUUGAGCUCUAUCAAAAAAUCUGAACAUUACAUGACAUGGAUUUAAUACAACAGUAGCACACUCUAUUGGAAGUUUGAACAUAAAGCUCACUUCACAAAAUGAUGACUUGGAAAAGUGGGCAUGCUCAUUAGUUAUCUGAUGCAAAAAGUAGAAAACAUUUUCUAAUUAUCUCUUCAUGUAAAUCAUUUACCUAGUUAAAGGCCAUUCUCUGAGAGUAACUUUUUUAUAUUUUUCAAAUCAUUAAAGUAGGGUCUGUUUAGGAUUGUCGGACCAAAAAUGAUCAGAAAAUUUCCAUUUUGUACAAAAUUUUGGUAGAGAACCAAAAUUCCGAAGCAGUCUCUGGUUGUUCUUGUUUUGCCUUUGUUCAGUGACCAUGCUAAACAAGCUAUUAACUAGUGUUAUGUGUUCUCAUCCUUUGUUAUAAUUUUCUUUUCUGGAAAAAACAGCACCUUGGCCAUGGCCUCAAUUUGCAGCAACAAUAAUUUGUGUCUUACCUUCUUUGAGCACCUUCUUCAUUACAUCUUUCCCUGCCCCCAUGUUUCGACACUUCUUAGUUCUCAUGUUUUAUUGUUCUCCUUUCUCUGUUUCCUUCUGUUUGAGCUUCUGCCUUCUGUCCUUUUUCGUUUGUUCCUCCAUUUAACCAUUCUGUUUUUUCUGAAAAUCCUAUUNNNNNNNNNNNNGGGAAUGUUGUCAUGUCCAUGAUGUUUCUUUUGCAAGCAACUCUUCUGAUGAUGAUUCUUAGUUUAGUGUGGUAUCUUCCUUUCAGUCCUUAUUGCUGUGGGAGGCAAGUCUUCCCUUGCUCGUUGCUAAUACUAUCACCUUUUUCAUUUUAUUCUUUCCCUUCUAAGUUCUCAUUGCUUGCUUUAAGUCCACUGUUCUUUUCAGAAGCCAUAAGCAUAUUGGCUCAAUGAAAGCUUUUAAGCAUUCCUCAGUAGCAAGAGCCCAUGAACAUGGAACUUUUUGCUUAUUAUUUAAGAUAUGCCAAUCAAGGUAUCUCAUUGGUCGACAAAAUCAUGACUCCAAUUAUUAUCCUAAACUUUAGAAAGCUUAAUUUCUUAACAUGAGUUUGGCUAAGUUUUUGGUUUUCAGUGUGGUCAGUCCUCUUGACCUCUUCCUAGGUGACACUGUUUGGCUCUUAGUUGUUUUAGGAUUUUAGCUUAGCUAAGUAAUGGACGUUGUAGCGGCUUUUGUCAAAAAUAUUCUUGAGGUCUAAUAUGAAGCCGUGUUCAAGUAUGCUCAUCCGUCUCUGAUGUUUGUUGUCUUUGUUGUCCCAUGCACAGUUCCAGAUAGGUCCCUUCUGCAUGGUUUAAGAUGUCAAAAAGUGUUGGCAGUUGACCUGUAUGUUGUGAGUACAAACAUGUUUUCAUUUUCUUAUGGUUUCAACAUUUACCAAUUCUGAAAGGAUGACACGAUCAACACAUUAGUGACAUUAUGUUUGUUAAGGAACACUAGUUAAGUAGGCUACGUCCUUUCUUUUCCGCACAAAAGAAAGAAAAAAAGAAACACUAGUUAAUAUAGUUUGCGAUCAUGGACAUCAUCCCUUUUUACUAAUUUUGGUUCUUAAAGGAGGUAUGCCUUUGCUUUUUCAUCAUAGUGUACAACUAAGAUAAUAUCUUUAGUGCACCAAUAAAUAAAUGCACUUAUAGAUAAAUGCCCGUACAUCUUUCAGUUUAAUAUUGAGCAUUCUUCUAACUGCAUUCUAGAAUCAACCUGCCAACUUGUGAGUGUGCUGCGUAUAUUGCUUAUUUUACUCACAUAAUCCAUUUUCUUUGGGGUACCAACACAAAAGAUCUCUUUUUUUUCCGUCUUUCCGUUGUAGUUCUAACCCUUCUUUAGUACUGAGUGGAUUGGUGAUGUCAUGUAUUAGCAAGCCAAUAACAGUUGUCUUCUCUUUCUUGGAGAAGCCUUUAUUCUAGAAGGCCAAGCUUAGGAUGUUGUUUUGCAUUCAUAUUUCUACAUGAAAUACCAUGCAAAGGUUAACAUAUAUGCAGAUGUUUGGGUGUGGCACUUUUCUAUAUGGACAUAGGGGUUAUAGUUUCCAUGCCUAAAAAAAAAGGAUCACGGUUGUUAACCAUCCAUUCCAUUUAUCAAGUAGGUCAAGAUCUUCUGUUAAUCUUAUUCAUCACGAUUGUCUUGCUGGUUCGCUAACCUGACGUCAUAUCUGAUCCACCAUAGUGCUUGCCGAUUUCUUUAAGGUGUCCAACACCAUAUAUCAAGGACCCUACCACAUUUCAAGUUCUUUUCCUAAAUUCCUCGUUGGCAACCUACCUGAAUUCUAGAGAGGGAAGAGAUACAAAUGCGUCAAUAUGAUGCUGUAUUUCAAACAAUCUGUACUUCACUAUCCUUUUAUAUCUUGUAUCUAAUGAACUCAAGAUUAUAAUAAUCACACCAUCAUCAUAUCAUGUACUUUUAUCAGGCUAAUGCUGUCAUUAGUUGAUGCUUUGAUUAUGCCGCUUUUGAUUUAUGAAUAAUAAAAUGAUGAUAAACAUGGUAUGCACAUGGAACAUAAUGUCAGAUUACUACAUUAUUUGUUAAUCACUUGGUCUUAUAUUGCACAAAUUCUAACAAGAUAAUCCAGAUUUACUGCUAACAUGUGUAGGAACAAAGUAUGCUUUUAAUUGAAAUUUCUAAGGUGAAAGAAUGAGAUUUUAACCAUGUUAUUCAUAUUCUAGUAGAGCUAAUUAUUUGCAUGCCUGCAGUGUUCAUCACAUAGCAAUGAAUUGAGUGAUUCAGAAUUGGUUGGAUCCAGAAUAAAAGUUUGGUGGCCGUUGGAUAAGCAGUAAGCCUUUUCUGUUGGCAUGUUAACUUUUUAUGAGUUCUCAAUUUACAUUUGAUGCAAAACCUUGCUCUAUUGAAUACAAUCAAAUGGAAAGAUCACUAUAUAAAAGAGACCAAUGAUGAAACUGUUAUUGAUAGUUUGUGUGCAUGUUAAUUUCUUGUUCAAAAAGUUAAUGGAGUAGUUUGUCUGAUUUUAGUAUCUGCUGCUUCUAUUAUAGGUUCUAUGAAGGUGUUGUACAAUCUUAUGAUCCAGGAAAGAAAAAACAUGAGGUGAGAUGGUUCUCUGUCCUAUGCACGAUCCUGCAGAUAUCCGAGAUGCUAGUUUCUUAGUGCAUUUAUGGUGUUCACUGAUCUCAAAUUUUCAAACAUAAAAAAAGGAAAAGAACCAAAAUCUCUGCUUGCAUAUUAAGAUUUUUCUCAAAAGAACUACAUGACCCCACAAUUUCCAUGGCGUUGCAUUUAUGUUGCAUGCCCACAUAUAUGGCUGAGUUUUUGUCCUUGGUUUUUGUUCUGAGAAGCUUUAGAUAUAAAAUGUGGUUAUGGAAAGGGUUUGUUUAUAGGUUAUAUUAUUGUCUCCAAAUGAUUUACGAAAUAUCACAAUUUACCACAAACUUAUUGGUAUGUUUAGAUGAUCUAUGUUGAUGUUAACUAAGGUUCUAAAAACUGCAGUAUGGGCCCGUAACAGUCGUUGGCUGGUAUUUUACCCAUUCUGACAGUUUGGCUGGCAUGGUCAAUACCCUGUAUGAGUACAGGCUGGAAUUGGAAGGUGGUAUGUACUGUCUGGUACAGGUCAUGCCAGCAGUACUUGAAUCCUUGAUGUUAAGAUUGCAAGAGAGCCUUUUCCCUCAUCACCUUGUAGCAUCCAAAAGAAAUUCUGGGUUAAACCAAGUUCAGGAUCACUCUGUUUGUCCAAUUUUUAAGGCUGUAAUGGGUAUUUGCACUCAAAAUAAAAGGCUGUCAUGCGUGUUGGUAUAUACCUGAUAUAAUUGUAAGUUCUAGAAAACGAUUGUACCUUGCCAACUUUUCCAAGUCAAUUUCUCCCAUUUGGCAUUGGAGUUUUUGUCUAAUCCAUGCCUAUUCAUAUUUUAGUAUAUUUCUAUAUCAUUUACAAUUUUUCCAGCCUUUUCUUUCAAAAAUUUCUGCCAAAUUAGAACUUCUAUCCCAUAAAACUCAUGUUAUAGAUAUUGUAUGAUGAUGGAGAUGUGGAAGUGCUUCACUUAGCCAAGGAGAAGUGGGAACUUUUCCAAGUCAAUUUCUCCUAUUUGGCAUUGGAGUUUUUGUCUAAUCCAUGCCCAUUCAUAUUUUAGUAUAUUUCUAUAUCAUUUACAAUUUUUCCAGCUUUUUCUUUCAAAAAUUUCUGCUAAAUUAGAACUUUUAUCCCAUAAAACUCAUGUUAUAGAUAUUGUAUGAUGAUGGAGAUGUGGAACUGCUUCACUUAGCCAAGGAGAAGUGGGAACUUAUCAGUAAUGGAUGCGUGCCUAAAAAGGUUUAGACUUGUUACUCUUUUUUGUCGGCUUGACUUCUAACAAAAUUUUUUGAUGUGUUAUAAUAUGCUCCGUUUUUGACAGCGAUCAAAAUCCAAACAUACAUCGCCGCAUGAAGAACUGUGAGUAUUAUCCUUCAACUCUUUUUGCACCAUUUAUGUUUAAUUUCUGGGUAGGUAGAAAAUUUGUGAUUAUUUUGAUGCUGAUACUGUGAUUAUGGUCAUGGGUCAUGCCAAUGUUAAAAGACAGCUGUCAUUUUUCCCAUUUUUGACUGAUACAUGAAAUUUCAAUUAAUAGAGGAUGACAGAGAAGAGUAAUACCGAAAAUACUUUUUUAAUUCAAAAACUGAAAUCUCAACCAGAAAAAGAAAAAAAAAGGAGCCCACUCAGCCAGGACUGGAUAGCCUUUCAUACUUCCAGGUGACCAAUGUCAGACAACAGAAUUCCUAUGAUUUGAACUAUUUAAUCAUGUGUCCAGCAGCUAGGAGCAGGAUAUGAAGGGCUAAGGCAAGUGGUAGUCCCAAAAAUAGCCUCUGUCCUACCUUAUCUCCUCCCGCUUUAUCAUAAAAAGUCAUGCUAUCUGAGGAUAUAUUUCUUCUUGUAAGGAUGUUAAAUUGAUUGUUCAUGAACUGUCUAAGAUAGAAUCAUUUAGUGCUUGUUUUCAGCCACCGAUAUACCGUACUCCAAAUAACUGAAUCUGAUCAUGAACUGUCUAAGAUGGAAUGUUUUAGUGUUCGUUUUGAGCCACCGAUAACCAUACUCCAAAUAACUGAAUCUGGACUGAAAAUGGUCCUUUGCGUUUGAUCUGUAAUUGCUACUGCAGGUCACCAGAGAAGACAGAUGACAAAACCAACCAAGCUGAUUCUAAACAAAAAAAGAACAGCAUGAAGAAGUAAGUGAAGUCUUUAUUUUAUUUUAUUUUAUAUUAUAUUUUGUGUAAUGUUUUAUGUCAUCGCAAACUCUGGAAUUAUUGACAGAUCUUCAUCUUCUAAAAUCAAAAGAAAAAGUACUCCAAGAAAACGUAAAGUAAAUAACAGAAAAAGAGUAUCAGAAAGUAAUGUUAAUGCAGAUACGAACGACGUGGAUAGCAGGGGUGAUUCUGAUUUAUCAAGUGUCCCUCCACCCUCUGGCUCUGAUGUUGAUGAUGCCAACUCAGGUAUAUAUAUGUACACUCUUUUUAAGGGAAAAAAAAAAAUCUUCGAGUGAAAUAGGGCAUAUAUCACUACACAUUUCAUUGCUAGAUGAAACAGGAUUUCGGUCAGGGGUCUGUGCAGAGAAAGAGAGAGGGGAAGGGGGGGGGGGUGACCCCUCUUCGACAUGACAGUCAAAACAGCAGGAUGCACACACACAGGCAUGCAUGCAUGGUACAAUGUGUUAGACUGUUAAGGGAUGUAUAUAACCGCCUGUAUCCAUGUGUACAAUAUCAGUAAGUUCCCCAGGUGGUAGACCUUCCAACCUUUGCUUAUGUGGAAUCUGAUUGUCAGAAUUGGCCAACCAGUCAUCUGCCUGGAUGGCUUGCAUUGCUUGAUGAUGUGCAUGACACAAAAAGCCUGGAGCUGGUGAGACAUUAUCCGGAUAUCCACAGUCAGGGGUGUUUUAUUUUAGAGGCUGAUGUCCCUUGCUGGGUCCAGUGGACGACAGUGGCAGGGUGUCGUCCAACCACAAACUAGUUCACUGGAUUGUACAAAGUAGUUACAGUGCCUGGAUUGGUUCCAUACCAACACUACACUAAAUACAAAUAAAACAGAACUCCAACUGGGGCCCUUCCAGCUUCUCCUCAUAGCACCUAUAUAUCAGACUCAUAUUCCCUCCAUGCGGAGCUCUUCUCAACUUGUGAAGCCCGAUGGACAGACUGCUUUAAACACCAUCUGUAGGCACAUGUUCUCCUCUUUGACCUUGCAUAAGUCACCAGCCCAUUUAUAUUGAAAAUCAAGUUAAAUAUGCCAAUGUGUUGCAUGUAAUUUUCUGUUGUUUCGCUUUCUACCUCAACUUUCUUAUUUUCCUUUAGUAUACAAGCUUUGUCAUUACCUUUACUUUCUCCCAGAUAGGCUUGAAGGGAAAGAACAUCCAAUGUUAGAAGUUGGAAAGAAAACUGAAGUGGGCUUCGAAGAGGAUUCAGAAGAGUCAAUGGAAGAAGGCAAGCAAGAUUUUUCCAGCUUAGAUGGCAAAGGAGAUUCCGAUAAUGAACCUCUUGUAAAUUUUCUUAGCUUUUAAGCCCAUUUUCUGUAGUCUAGACCACGUUCCAUUCAAAAUCCGCAUACCAACUCAAUUUUUUUUCUUUUUUUUUCUUUCUAAAUCUUGCCAUUUUACCAUGUAAUUCAUGCAGAGUGCAUGGAAGCAAGGUGCUGGAAAAGCCACCUAAAACAUCUAUGCUCAUGGACCAGCUCACUCAGUACAAGAACUUGAUGGCAGAUCAGUUUGGGAUAUGGAUCUUGCUAAUUUGUUCUCUUCUUCCCACGCUUUCAGUCUUCAUGUAGGAAAUGUUAUUACCAUACCACAGGGUAGUAUAAGAUGGCCUUAGAAGAGGGAUAGUGAUUCUAUAUUGUGAAACUGAAGCUCUAGCUUUUGUGAUAAUUUAUCUGCAAUCUGUGCAUUUUCGCAGCAUUUUUUCCCCCUCCAGGUAGACGGAUUCUGUCAUUAUCUGCCUCUACUGUCUUUGGCAUAGCUAACCUCUGAUUGAACUCCGGCAAUUGAGCGGGCCAUGACUCUAUUCACAAGCCAUGAAUGUAAUAAUUGGCGCACACCUUUAGUGUUUGUCAUUGGGGGCACCUCAUUCUCUCUGAGGUUGCAUGUAAUAAUUGCAUACGAGUUGUUGUUCUGUAAUGAUGCUUCAGUUGGCACCCAAAUUUCCCGUAAGAUGGAAGUUGGAAUGUGUUGUAAAGCUGGUGAUGCUUCAGUUGGCACUUUGAUGGUGUACCGUGCCCAGAUAUCAAAUCUUCUUCAGCUUGCCGCGUUGAUAUUUUAUAGGUGUUUCCUUUUUGUGUUAGUGAAAAUAGCAACUGUGGACGUUCAUUACUUCCAUUAGGACUUGUAUACUGGGUAUGAGAUUUUAAAGCUAUGAGGCGAACUUUUCGUCUGUUGAAUUUAUUAUGAUCUGUUUGAUUGCUACCAGUUGGGCAUUUGUGAGAAUGGAUUUGUAUUGUGGUGUUCAAAAUUUGAAUGAAAAAUUUUUUUUCAGAAAUGAGGGGUGCGUUGCAUACUUUUCAUCAAAAUAUAUUCUAGCAUCCAUGCAUGUUUUUGAUAUUGAAUUACGGCUGCAUGUACGUUUAUCCAUAAACCAUUCUGCCAAGCAAAAAGGGCUGCUUGAUAAAUUUAGCUUUGGGGGUAUGUUGGACAAAAAUAUUGGAUAAAUCUAUACUUACGAUGUAUGAAGAAUUGUGUUCUGACCGACUCUCUACCGUGGGAUCACGGUUGCAAACGUGAAUAAUCCUUGCAUGAGCACUGUCUUCGUCCCUGUUUAGAAAAGUUUACGUGAGUCUUUAAGAAUCUCUUAAGUUGCAUAAGUUGGCGGUACUGUUGGCUGGAUUGGCUUGUAGGCUACAUAUUAGUGUAGCUCUCUCAGUCCUAAAUUUCCUCAUCAUAUUGGCUAAGGUAAAUCGGGUAAAAUAAAAUGAAUCGAGAUCUUGAUUUACCAAGAUCAUGGAUAUCAACAUUUAAAAACCUGGCUGACCAUGCGAUGCUAUGCUUUGUUGCAGGAAGUAAAAUCUUAAGAGCUUGGUCCAACUAGGGGUCCAGCCUUCUGUGUGAUAUUUUGAAAGAAGGCUUUACUGCACCAUUCUAUCUCCGAUGAAGUGUGGACGCGGGUCCUUGGAGCUGCACCUAAUAUGACUCAUGUAUUGCAUCAGUCCUGACUGCAGUACGAGGUCCAGUGCUUUGAGCAGGCGGAAGGAGAUUUAUUAGUGCUUUGAGCAGGCACUAGGACGUUGCGGAGAAAGCGUUUUGUGUACAUUGUGCUAGAGAAACCAUAGAUUUGUUCAUUUUGACCAAAGUUCUCUAAUUGUUCUCUGAAACACUCUUUCCAAAUAAAUAAGGUUGAGAAGGACAAAACUGUUUCUCAAUUAGCAUAAGAAUUUAUUCAAUUUAAUAAUAAAAUCAUCGAUAAAGUUUUUGGGUCCAUCGAGAUGGUUCUAAGUUAUUAUAAUAUAAACUUUUUUGAGAGAGGAAGACGAAGACUUCGUCUAUGCUCAAUGACGCAUAACCCGAGACUCACUUAGGGCUUUUGAUUAGUAAGCAGAGGGGUAUGACAAUCGGGGUAAGCGUCCAUUUAUAAAUAAUAUAAAAUUAUUUUCCAAGAGCUCGGAAAUGAUUGAAAGAUCAUAUAGCAUUUCAAGUUGACCAUUUAUUAUAUUGAGGUGAAUUAUAUAGAAGACUAAUUUGAUUUACUUUCUGGAAGAGCCUCACGAACCUGCUGAUAUAUAUAAAUCAGCAAGUCACUUGAAACAAGAAACAGGUAGCUCAAAGACAGCAGUCAAACACAUUUUCUUAUUGACAGAGAUGAUGGCAAAUGUUUAGUUUGCAAGUUGUGGCGAUGCCCUUCAUUUGCAGUUGUAAUUACGUAAGAAUCAGUAAUUCAUUGUACAGGAAUACCACUAUUUUCAGCUGCUUGUGGGAGGGUAAUUACCGCCUUCAAAAUGUCUUUAAGCACAAGGUAAUCAUCCCAAGAAUGCAAAUGAGGCUGAUAUCCACUAUAUUUUAAUUCCGUAAGCCCUUCACUUGCAACAUAGCAUGUGUCUCUAGACUGCAGCAAAGUGAGGAUAGAUAAUUUAAUAGUGAAUCAUUCUGCAUAGCCAAAGAAGAAAGUAGAAGAAGAAGAAAGAAGAAAGUAGACCUUGGUUUCUUCAACAUGAAUUUCGACGGUUGUGUCAUGGAUGAUGGAUGUUGUGGCAUCAGCUUCGUCAUCAGGGAUCAGUAGGCUGGACUAGUAGCUGCCGGGGGUCGGUGCAUCUUCGAUCAGUCCGUCAGGCACUAAGGUCAAAGCAGCCUGUGAGGAUAUCUCCUAUGCCAGAUAGGUGCUGGGGGCCGAUUGCAUCCUACUUGAGGGAGACUCCAUUACGGUGAUCGAGGGAAUUUUGAGUUCUAAGAGUGCUGUCGUGGGGAUGCGGCUGAUUCACGUCAUUCGCCGUCUCUUAGACGAAUGCGUAGCCUUCCGGGCUAACCAUGUAUUCAGAGAGUCCAAUAGCGCCGCAGAUUGGGUGGCAUCCUACGCGGCUCACCACUCUGGAGAUUUUAACUGGGUGGCACACAACUCUGAUUUGUCUCUCUUGCAUUUUAUUCUAGUAUCUGUCUCUUUGGGCUAUGCUCACACCCGGUGUGUAUGAGUUGCCGAUGUAAACAAAAAAAAAAAAAGAAGAAGAAGAAAGUAGAAAGAUAAGAUGGUAAAUUGAAAACGUAAGCUUAUAGCCUCCGUCCUAUCAUUUCCUGGUUAAAACAAACCUCUUCUUGAUAGCGCUAAAUAGUGAGACCCAAGAGAAACUAGCAAUUAAACAUGUUCAUAUAACUACUAUGACAGGUUUCCAUUAUUUAAUCUUCCGAGACUCAACUGCUUAUAGUUAGUUCACUUCUGCAGCAUACCAUUUGUCAAAGCAAGCACUGCAAACCCAUUCACCCAUUCAAUGUAUAUGUGUCUUUACAACAUCUUGUUGACUCGUAAUUAAUAUCGGAUCCGUUGGACUUGCUAUGUAUCAAUAAAAAUCAACUCUGAGAGGGGAAAAAAUAGGGAGGAGUCAAGUGUAAUUGGAUCAGGCUUGGGACUGACAAUAUUGAUAGCCGAAUAGAACUUUAUUUAAAUAUAUACUAACUUAUAUUAACCAUCCCCGCAAGGAUAUCAUGUAGGAUUCACUGUCUAGAGCAUAUCUAUAAAUUAUGAAUUUACCAACUCCUUAGAACUCUUAAUUGUAGAAAUCCAUGCAAUCAAAUUGUAUUGAUCGUUUUCUACUAUUUAUGCAAUCUGGUCCCAUAUAUUAUACCCUGGCUAGGUGGUUGGUUUUCUCUGAAGGAUCAAGGUUGUAUCCUCUAUGCAAAAGAAGGAUUAACUUCCUUUGCAUGAAUCCACAAUUGUUCAUCAACUAGUUGCUUUGAGAUCUAUAUAGCAGAACUUUAGUUCUUCAGUUGAUGAUGAAUUUGUAGCUUAGUAAUUUUCUAAAUUUUGAGAAUUAUGAGUUUGGUAUUUAUGUUUGAAUUUAGAAGCUCCGAACGAAUAAUGGUUGUAUUUAAUGGAUAAUGAAAUUUGUUUCCUAUUUAUUCUAUUUUAUUUGAGAUGAAUUUGAAAGCUAUAAUAAAAUGUUUGGCUUCGUAUUAUCGUAGAUUGUAUCCCUUGAUAGCACGGCUAUAUCAUGCUCCGGAUCUGAGGUAUGACAGAUAGAUUUCUACUAUUUAUGCAAUCUGGUCCUAUAUGUUAUACCCUAGCUAGGUGGUUGGUUUUCUAUGAAGGAUCGGAGUUGUGUUCGCUAUGCAAAAGAAGGAUUCAUUUUUAUUCACAUUAAUCCACAAUUGGAUAAUCCACUAGUUGCUUUAAAAUUUAUAUAGAUGGAUGGGUUAUUGAGUUCUGAGUACUUUGAGAUCCAUAUGAUGGGUGAUCCAAUGAUAGAUUUGCAUGAAAGAGAUAAAUCAUUCUUUUGCAUAAAAGAUCCACCCCCGAUCCUGCUAUGAAAUGAGGAUCGCUUCAUAGCAGGAUCGCUUUGUGGGAAUUUCCCACAAUGUAAGCCAUAGAGAUCUGUUGCUUUUACCAUCAAUACACGUCGUCUCGCGGUUAGAAAAUAGAGCAAUUAAUCAACCAUUCAACCGAAUGAGCAUGGGUCCCAAGUAAGCAGGAAAUACUGAUUCUCUCCUUAUAAUGUUUAAGUUGAGGGUGAUCUUCCCUCAUAACCAGAGCUCCAAACUAUCACGGUCUCCCACUCAUCCUUUGGGGAACUGUUUCUAGUUUCGUUUCAGUUGUCAAAACAAGUAAGAACUCAGUGAAUGUCACAUCCGACACACCUGCAAAAGCAUCCGUUACCUCUAAAAUUUAAAUUUUAAUUAAGUUACUCAUCAUUGCUUUGUUAUGUAUGAAUAAGUUCAAUUCUUUAAAAGAAAGAGCUAUGACAUAAUAAAUAAGUGGAAAAACAGGACGACUAAUUGUCUAAAACGUUGUAUGCUAGAUGUUUAAUAGUUUGAUAGUAAUGGCAAUAUCCCUUGGCUUGUUUAGUAUUGCACGAGGCAUUUAACCCUCCAAUUUGCUGAUGGCAAUGCUAUCCGUUGCGAGUAUUCUUGAAGAAUAUCUACAUAUUGGUUUUUUGUCGUGCAAGUAAGCUAUCAAAGCUCAAAGUGAUUGGGGCCUUUUCUCAUGGUCAUAUCUCCCUAUUUAGCAACCCCCGUGUCUGUGUGUGAAAAACAAAAAAAAAAUCAAAGACUAGAGAAAAAUACUCGGCAUCUAAAAGGUUAAAACUAGUUCCCUAAAGACCAUCCACUUCUGGAGGGAUCGUUGACGAGUUUUGAAUUUCAUGAGAGAUGGAUCAGUUGGGUCAUGGGGUGUGUCAGAUCUCCCACCUUUGCCAUUCUGGUGAAUGGCACGCCCUCGUGUUUCUUCGCUUCUUCUAUCGGACUCUGGCAAGGGUGCCCUCUGUCCCCACUUCUAUUCAUUAUUUGUGCAGAUGCCUUGUCUAGAGCCUUCUGUUGUGCUAUUGAGACCCAGGCUUUGGAGGCUUGUAGACCGGGGCUGGGGUCCUUUUAGGUAUCAUAUUUUUUAUUUGCUGAUGACUGCUUGAUCCUUGCUCAGGCCACAAGACAAGCGACAAUGGUUAUCCGGAGGUUCUUAGAGGAGUACUGUGUUGUUUCAGGUCAACGGGUCAACCUGGCCAAGUCAGCUAUCUUCUUCAGUCCGAAGAUCAAGCCACAGGUGAAGACAUCCAUCAAGCAGAUCCUAGGAGUGGGUGAACAGGAGGGUGCCCUAAAGUACUUAAGGGUUCCCAUCAUUGGGCGGCGUCUUCGUCUUGGGGACUGCUCUAAUAUAAUGUGCAGCAUCAAACAGAGGUUAGAGGGCUGCUAGAUGGAUGCACUUUCUAUGAUGGGCAGAAUGGUCUUAGUGCGGUCGGUCCUUAGCACGACGCCGAUAUACUUGUUAUCGAACACCAUUGUGCCGAUAGUGUCGCUGAGGUCUAUGGAGCAGCUGUUCAGGAAUUUCAUAUGGGGCAGGAAGGGAGAUCGCAGUGUCAUUCAUUUGGUGGCAUGGGAGACGAUUUGCCAGCCAGUCAAGAUAGGUGGUCUAGGGGUACAUUCACUGAUCAUGAGGCGGGAGGUUAUGGCGGCACGACAUGCCGCUAGGUACAUCUUGGAGCCGGAUAGUUGUGGGGUGCCCUCAUGAAGAGUAAGUAUGGCACACAUUCGGCGGUGGCCGACUUUCGAGUGGGACGUCAUAGCUUCAUCUGGAAGGAGAUAUGCGCAUACGCACCGAUGGUGCUCCCAGAGAUCAGGUGGAUGAUUGGUGAUGGAUGAUCUAUUGAUGUGCUAGAGGAUGCUUGGGUGACUGAGCAGCCAUUGGGGAGGAUACCAACGAUGAUGGAUUUAGUAAGGUUGUCGGGGUGCAGGGUCAGCGAGCUAAUUAGUGCUGGUAGAUGGAGUAAGGUGUUGGUCCGGGAUGUGUUUGGGGAGCAGCUUGCCGAGAGGGUUCUGAAGCUCCCGAUCCCUGGUGGGGAGGCAGUAGACAGGUUGGUUUGGACUCCGAUAGAGAGGACGAGGGUGUGUAUUAGGGAUCUGCAGGCAUUGAUGGGGAAGGAGUCGACUCGGCGGAUAGAGGGUGGGUGGAUCUAGAGGUUGGGCGUUCACCCUCGAGUGACCUUAUUCUUAUGGAAUGUGGCCUGGGGAUGUAUCUCGACUCGGAUUGUAUUGGCUAGGCGGAGUGUCAAGACUACCCCCAUGUGUGAGGAUUGCCAUGAUGAGAAGGAGACCAUCACUCAUGCUCUUCUUUACUGUGCUCGGGCUAUAUAGGUAUGGAGGAGUGCAGUAGUAUCCUUGCUGCGGGAUUGGGGUUUGGCGGAAGACUUGUUAUAUCAUUUGAGGAUAUCCAUGAGAAGAUCGGAGUUGGUGGAGUGGGGCAUUACUUGUGCCUACCUGGCUUAUCACAUAUAGUUAGACAGGAAUGUCGAUAUCUUUGAGGGGAGGAGGACACCCCCAUGAGCUGUGGUGGACAGAGCCUUCCGAUAUGCGGCCGAAUUCAUAUACUCUAUUAGGGAGUCUUCAUUUGGAGGGACUAGGAACACUUGGGGUUCCCACAUCGCUGUCAUGGUGCCCAUAGUCACUUUUGUCACUUGGGAACCCGCAAUGCUGGGUCAUCUUAAGGUAAACUUCGAUGGUAGUGUGCUAGCCGGAGGAGAUAAAGGAGGGACGGAAUUUGUGAUCCGAGAUCACAAUUCUAAAUUGAUUGCUGCACAUCGGUGGCACGAUAGUCAUAGGAGUAGAGCUCAGGGCAACAUGGGACUUGGGAGGGCAUUACUUAUGCGAGGAGCAUCCUAGGGGCUGGCAAAAUCACCCUGGAAGGAGAUUCCGCUAUAGUGAUCGAUUGGAUUCAACAUGCUGAGCGACAUGUAAAUGACCAUCCUCUUCUUAGCGAUAUACGACGGAUGGUGAGAGAUUGUAACUCCUUUUAGAUUGCUCAUGUGUACCGGAAGGCAAAUAGAGCAGCUGAUGGGGUUGCUUCCUUUGCUGCCCAUCACUCCGGAGAGGUCUCAUGAACAUGGUCUGAGAUUGUACCCCAAUCUUUAUGCCAUGUAUUGUAUUUUGACUCAGUUGGUUGCACUCAUGCCAGAUUAACAUGAGCGACUGUUUUAACCAAAAAAAAGGAAAAAAAAGAUGACCAUCCGCAUAAGAACCAGUUUCGGAGUUUAACUGCAUUCAAAACGACUCAUUACUUGAUCAACCAAUCCCAAUCUACAGUACCCAUUGGAAAUCUCAUAAGUAGCAAAUUCAAACUAAAAACAAAAUCAAGAAAUCAAAACUCAAGACUAGACUAUCCAAAUCAUUAACAGAAAUAUCUAAAUAUAAAAACCCUAGCAAGCAAAUAAACAGCUAAGAUCUCUAAAGAAACAACACGACAACUAAGGCAACCCAAAGGGCUGUCAUGAUCAUAGAAGAUUUAGCAGUGGUCUUAAAUGGCGCAUUAGAACCUUGGGAUCCAUAUGUUGCCGGCCGGAUCCUGAGCUCAGGCCCAAGCUUGAGCCCAGGCCACCACUCGGCUGGGGGGCUUUGCGCAAGCCCUGGACCCAGCUAACUUCUACGAUCAUCCUCUACUCGGACUCACAGUGACCAGGAUCCUCAUUGAUGAAGUAGAAGAAUCCAUAGUAGUUGAAUUGGAACGUGGCAUUGCCAUCGUUAAAUUUGGAACUGGAUUCGAAAUGUUGCACUGGUUGUAGGCCCUGUUUUGGGGAGCUGUUGGUAGUAGAGCUUUUGGAAGUAGAGCUGUUGGAAGUAGAGCUGUCUGAAGUAGAGCGUUUAUAAAAAGUUGUUUGCUGUUUGAUAACUACAUUUCUAAAGUAGAUAUAUAUAUAUAUAGAGAGGGGGAUGGGUGAGAGAGGAAGAGGCGGGAUGAGAGUUUUGGGAGAAAAAAAGUGGGAUUUAAAUGGGGGUAUUUUGGUAAAAAAAAGCUUUCCGACAAAACUAAAAACAGCAUUUUCGGAAAGCUCCAAAAUGGAGCAUCUCCCAAAAAGCUAUUUUCAGCUUUCUGGAAAAGCUGAAACAGCUUUCCAAAAUUUUUAACAAACAUCCUUUUUAUCCAAAAGUAUUUUUGAAGGCUAGAAAGUGCUUUUUGCCUCUUCAAGAGCUCUCCCAAACAGGGUCGUAGUCUUUGCGGUCCAUUACGAGCAUCGAGUUAUUCAAUCUAGGAUGUUAAAAAGAUAUCAUGAAUACAUGUAUACACUGGCUAAAUAUUUAGUUAAACUGAUAACUCAUUAUUAUUGUUGCUCAAAACACGAAAAAUAAAAAUAAAAUAUUAUGCAAGUUCUGAAAUGAAUUAACUCUUUCCAAUGUCAUUUAAUUGUGGUCCCUAGUAGUUGUACACACUUAUUCCUCACUAUGUACACAAAUACAGAUAACUGUGUAUAUGCAGGGACAAUAUAUUGUGUUCAAGAAUUAGUAUAAUCAUGUGCAAUAUAAAUGUAAACAUGUGUAAAUCUUGUAUAAGCUUGUGCAGCAUUAAAAGUUAAAUAUUAAUAGUCGAACGGCCAAAUGUUAGAGUCCGUCAAAAAAACUUAAGGACCCAAUAUUAUCGUCUCAUUAUUAUGUUUAUAUAUCUAAAUGUUUUAAACUAGGUACUGAUAAUGCAACCAUAAUUCAUUACUGAAGUGUGCUACUAUCAUAAAAUCUAGCAUUUUUUUUGUUUUUUUAUUAAGCGAACCACAAGGAAUCUCGUUGAGAGGAAGAAGUUGAAGCAAACAUACAUACAUACAUAUAUUGAGAGGAACGAGGUGGAAAGAAGUUUAUCAAUUCAUGUCAAUAUUGCUAACAAAAUAAGAUGGCAUCAUCCACAAGAUACAAAUAUGUAUCUGUCUAACUCAUGGAAUAAUAAAAUUUUUAUGUUGCAAAAUCUCGGGUAAACUUUGAUUUAUCAUGCCGUGUAUUUUUUUCGAAGUCCAACUUCUCCCUGUUCCCAUGACAAUUGUAAAAUAAUGUUCUUAUGUUAUUAUUAAUUAUCUUUUAUUAUGGUAGCUGUUAGUAGUCAUCGUAAGUAGUCAUUAUAAGUCUUUAUCUUAAUCCUAGAUAAACUCAGUCUCGUUAGAUCAGAACUGGACCAAUAAUGGCUAUUGUAUAAACAUAAUGAUCAUGGACCGGGUUUGUUGUUGAGAUCUUGACGAUAGCAUGUAUCCACCUCAAUCUUGUUUCAUAUAACUUGACGAGGUCACGAGUCCCAUGAUGCAAUGGCAACGUCUGACCACCUCCCUGGGACUGCCGGUCAUCAUCACUAACCUCCAAUUUUAGCCCACAAUUUAUGGUCUCUUUCCUUUCUCUCUGCCUUCUAAUUAAGCCUCCUCCGGCGAGAAGGCCGUUCUAGGAGCGAAUUUAAAGGCUGCCAACCUAUAAACGCAACCAAUUCCGGAUGAAAUCUCUCGCUCUCCCCCCCCCCCCCCACCUGUGACCAUAACUGAGUCAGUUGCACUCUUUUAGGAAACUGGCCAGCACCACUACUCGCCGGUUUUGAACGGGUGUUUUCAUAGUAGAAUUGGCUCUAGUCUCUCGUCGAAAUGUCUAUAUAACCAGGUCUCUGUAUAUCGUCAUUUCAAUUGCAAACCAGUUCUAGCCUCUCAUCAAAGUGUUUAUAUAAGAAGGCCUUUCUCUUCGGGUCGUGCGCUAGCUUGUUGUGUAUUUAACUAUUUCUAUGGUUUUUUCCUCUUCCUCUUUUCUUUCUUUUUUGCUUGCUUAGCAUAUUAUGAUGUUGCUUUUUAGGCUUUUAUUCUGUCCAUCAUAAUUUGGUUUUAUGUAGUUUUAGAAAAUUCUUUUGUUGGGCAUGGAUUUUGCUUGCAUCUAUAAGUUUAGAUGAUAUGAAGGUGAAACUUUGAGGAAAGGGUUGUCACUUCUUCAAAACAACCGGUUUUCGUUUCAUCUCAUUAUCCUAGACUAUAUAAGAAAUCUAUACUUCAUUAGGUUAGUCUGUGUGAAGAAGAAAGCACGUUCUCGCUAUAAGAAUUUGAUUGUGCACUUCAAAACGAUUUUCUUUUUAUUGAUCUUUUGAUUCCAUCUAUUUUUGUAAUCUAUAUGAGCACCGAGAAAAGGAUGUUUUCAAUAUAAACAAACGAUUGCAUAUCUUUUUUUUUCCAGCAAAAUGAUUGCAUAUUUCCACAAAACUAGUUUUUCGGGAAUUUUUCUUUAUUUCAUUUUUGCUGUUUUGGAAAUGAAAAGAUUAUGCUAUACAUGAUGGUAUCGCUUCAAUUUUUUUCCCUUUUUUUUCUUGGUUUUUGGUUUUAGUCUUAACCUCAAGAAGUUAAUUAACAAUGGCAAGGGAGUUUCUUCCAGCAUUCACAAGGUAAACACAUGUUUCCACUAGUAGAUUAAUUCUAUUCAUUUCUAUUAGCACGCAUGAAUGUACGCAUACAUACCAAGCAUAUAUUGUUCUCUUUUCUCUGUCAUAAAUAGCUUUCAUGAAUAGAAAACUUAAUGUAAAGAAAAAUAAAUAUGCGCAAAUAUUUUAUGAAAAUCUUAUUCAGAAAUAUACAUGCAUUCAUGCAUCCAUUAACUUUGUCUUUUUUUUCUCCAUCAAAAAAGACUUUUGACUUUUUGUAGGAUGGGGCUUAUGAUCUUCAUACAUUGACCCGAUGGCUGAUCAGCGAAUGUACAUCUGAUAUCUUGAUGUCAACAUUUAAUUUAAUAGAUGUUAUAUAUUUCCACGUGUACGAAUGCAUGUCAUUUCUUGAUCCUGAAAUCUGAAGUUGAUGGCGAUUUUUUCUAAUACAGGGUGCGAAGGGUGGGAUCCCAAGAUGGAAGAGAUGACAGAAGAGAGAGAGCACAACCCAACACUAGCGAAAGAAACAGGUUCGCUCUUGGUGUGGAUGUGCUCUCUCCUCUUUCUGUCAUCACCAUCUCUAGGGUUUUGCCUGUGCUCUUUUGAAGCCCUAGUUUCUUGUCGCGCAUAUCACUUUCUGGUGGGUCAACUCUUCCAUUGACCAGCAAUAUCUAGCAGGCAAGGUGAGCCUCUCAUAAGAUCCGGCCGUAUUUUAUUUAAGAUCCAGAGUUAAAAUCGAUGUUACAAAUUAGGUUUGCAUUAGGGUGGAUCCAAAUGCACCUGCUUGGCUGCUGUUGAUGAUCUGCUCAAAUGGAAAGUCCAUAUCCUACCCGUGUAGUUGGACUAGUCCNNNNNNNNNNNNNNNNNNNNNNNNNNNNNNNNNNNNNNNNNNNNNNNNNNNNNNNNNNNNNNNNNNNNNNNNNNNNNNNNNNNNNNNNNNNNNNNNNNNNNNNNNNNNNNNNNNNNNNNNNNNNNNNNNNNNNNNNNNNNNNNNNNNNNNNNNNNNNNNNNNNNNNNNNNNNNNNNNNNNNNNNNNNNNNNNUACUUUCGGCUGAAGCUAGCCGAAUGCAAAUGUGUAUGGUAGAAAUGGUCAAAGUGGGGGAAUACAUCUUUCUAUGAGAGGAGAGAGCCACUAUACGUCUAUAGUGGAUACAUGGAGUUGGUGCUGCAGGUUUAACAAUAGAAAUUAAAAUUGGUUGGAUUGGGUGUAAAGAUUAAAAUUGGUUGGAUCGGAUCUAUUUUUUCAAGUACAUGUGAGUUAUAAAUAUGAUAUAAAAUAUUAAAAAUAAUAUAUUAUAGUGUAAUAGUAUUAUUGUAUCACCAAUAUUGUAGUAAUACUAUUGUAUUAUACUAUAUUAUAAUAAUUUGUUAUAUUAUAUGAUAUUAUAAUAUUAUAAUAAUUAUAUCAAAAUAAUAUAGUAACUAAUAAUUUUAUAUUAUUAUAUUUUACUAAUAUUAUUUAAAAUAUUAGUAUAUCGAUAUCACAUAUAUACUAUUUAUUAUAUUAUUUAGAUUAAAAUAUUAUAAUAAAUAAUUUAUAAAUUAAAUAUUAUUUAUUUAUACUUUAUAAAUAAAUAAUAUUAUAACCCUCUUAUCUCGGCUUAGGCCUCUCUACCUCUACCACCUCUGUCCUUAGGGCCAUGCUCUCUUUUUUCUCCAUCUGCAUAGUACUUUAGUCUAAAUCUAAUGUAAUUUGUAAAAUGUAAUUGCUGCAUAUAUUUUACUGAUAUGGGCACAAAUACAUUUCCAGAAGGUUCAGUUCUUUGAAUUGCAGAUCUGAAGAAAUGGAGGAAAGAAGAAGAAGAAGAAGAAGAAGUUGCUAAGAUUUCUGCAUAUAAAUGGCAUGGUUGCAGUACUGUUUCUUUUAUAUGUGAUGAGAAGCUGGCGCAGUUCCUGAAUUGCUGGAAGCUUAGCAACACAGAGAAAUACGGAGCAGCAGAUAUUUAUGGCAAACAGAGUUUUCCAAUGAGAUUUUUUUUUUGAAAUAGUUUUAUCCUGUUAGUGGUAGAGGGGAAAAUAAUUUUUGACUUCAAAUUGAGCUUAAUAUGGACAUCAUAGAAUCUUUAAACGACUGAAUCAGGGAGGUAACAGGGUAUCUAUCCAGGACUUAAUUUGGGUCGGACUUCCCAAUCAGAUUAUUCUAAUUUGAAGCAUAGAAUUAUUUGUCCUGUUCAACGAGAUCAUCUUGAUAUAGUUUGUACAACUUUAUGGCUGAUAUGUGGAUUAAGCCUUCAAGAUUGCAAUACUGUGUAAAAUGAAACAUGCAACAUAUACCAUUCUAUAAUAUUUUGAAGUGUUACUGAGGUUCGAUCUUCCAACCUCAGAAUAAAAACAGGGGUGACAUAACCACCCAUUGCAAUCACAAAAAAAAGAACAAGAAACGCACAUAUACCAUUCUAUAUACCCAUGCAUAUUAUCAUAAAUUCCGUCAACGUUGCUAUAAAAAAUGCAAAUAGAAAUCUAAACUCAAAUCCUAAAGGCUGUAAAUGAUGUGCCCCAAGACAGAAUUUUUUAACAUUCUUAAGAAGGGACUAACUUAUACCAUUACUCUCAAAGCACUUUAGUGAUUUAUACCAUGGCUAGCAGAGACACCAACAUCGCAGAACCAAGGGAGAGAAAUGUGACAGAGAGGGGUAAGCUGCCUUUAUCCUUUCGUAUGAAAAGAGCUUCAUAAAUGGGCAAAUGGAUGGCCACCACCAGCCCGCAGAGAAGAAUUUGAAUGAAUAAUGGCUCAAGACCCAUAAUUCCGCCAUCUUCCACCAGCCUUUGGAGUCCUCCCGCCAAGCAGAAAAGAUUCAGCAUUGCAACUGCUCCUAUGAUAACAAACAUUGAGGAUGAUGAUCCGAAUUCCAUAACCUCCUGCUCGUACCUUUUAGAGGCAUCGCCAUCAGACACCUUUGCUGUGAUUGCGAAGCCCAUCUUAGAAAUCCGCAGCAACUUUAAGAUGGUAGAAGUGAAGCCAUAGAGGAAUGAGGUGGUCCUCCUCAAUAUCCACAUCCUUUGUAAGUUCCACCAUCCAGCCAAUGUGUCACCACAUUGCAGUGAUUCGACGAGCCCAUACGCAUGCUUCCCAAUGGUGACAUAGGCAAAGGGCACGAACCAUGGGCUCGUGAUCUAAUUUUGACAUCAGGAUAUUUAUUUGUGUUAGGAUUCGUUCAAACAUGCAUGCUUGAUGGAAGGGAAAAAGAUAGGCAUAUCCGUACCUUUGGGAAUAAGGAGAUGCCUUUGAGGAGGCAAAGGGAAGGAAUCACAAGGUAAUAGAGUGUAGGGAGUGAGUUUGGAGCCCACAAGCCAUAAAUGCAAUAACCCAUCUGAAGUCCUAGCUUGAUUUUGCCAUGAGCAAGUAUGAAGGGACAGUACUUGGNNNNNNNNNNNNNNNNNNNNGUACCUUUGGGAAUAAGGAGAUGCCUUUGAGGAGGCAAAGGGAAGGAAUCACAAGGUAAUAGAGUGUAGGGAGUGAGUUUGGAGCCCACAAGCCAUAAAUGCAAUAACCCAUCUGAAGUCCUAGCUUGAUUUUGCCAUGAGCAAGUAUGAAGGGACAGUACUUGGAAAGAAAGAUUUGAAAAUUUCCCUCGCUCCAUCUUUUGUAUUGCACCAGCGAUUGUUCUAGUGUUGUGGGAGCAACACCUAGAAAGGCUUUUCUUGGAGGAUUGAUAAAGGCGGACUUCCACCCCCUACAUUGAAUUAAUAGGCCUGUGAUGACAUCCUCCACAGCACACUCAUACUUCAGCCCAAUCUGCAUUAAAUGAAAGAUAAAUAUAUAGACAGAUAGAUAAAUAAAUAGGUAGAUAUAUAGAGAGAGACCUCCUGUCCCCAUUGGGUGUCGUGCUCAUAGGUGCUGGUAAUAAGAGACUUUGCUCUCUCUUCCAGUGUGCAAGCACUUCUAGCCGUUUUCCUCUCAAUGCCUCUCUUCCAGUCUUCCUUGUAAUCCUUGCUAUACUUCCUCCCGCAAAGAGCCUCUCUUCUGUGGAAGCAUCCAGUGCCAAUAUAGAGAGUCCCUCCCCAACUAUCCAAGCCAGGGUGGUCCACCUUAAAAGACAUUCAAAAUGGUUUUAUUAUUAGGUCCUUGUAAGACAUUCAAAAUGGUUUUAUUAUUAGGUCCUUGUAAGACAUUCAAAAUGGUUUUAUUAUUAGGUCCUUGUAAGACAUUCAAAAUGGUUUUAUUAUUAGGUCCUUGUGCGAUUUAAUAUCAAAAUUCACACUAACUACUUGAUUGGUAUUAUACUCCAAACUGGAUAUUGCCGCGAUCUCUGUUGACUCCAAGGAUGUGUUUGUGGAACUUUGUACAAGACUAGAGAAACAUAACUGAAACCUCGAUUGUGGUGAGCCUUUGCUAGUACUAACCUGAGUGAUCACAUUAAGGGAAUUGCCAUAGAGAUCAUUCUUGGUGAUAUUAUGAAAGACCUGGGGAUAUUGUACAAAGCCAAUGUCCUGACCCUUCUCUUCAUCCAGGAAGAAGCACAAUGCUUGUCUGAUGGACUCCGAGUUGUUUGAGUACAUGUCGCAAUCCAGGUUGAGGAUGAUUGGGCUGUUGCUUAUCUCUGAUGACGCCCUUAUCUGUACAUCAGGUUGCAUUGUUUAAAGAUAUUUUUUUCAUAAAUUUCAUUUCAAAAUCAUAAUAACCUUGCAUUGUUAUUCAGACCAGGUGCAUAUUCAAGAUCCAUUUACAGCCGAUUCUAGAUUGAUCGUGUUAUUCUUCUAAAAAAUAAUUGAUUGUGUUAUUAAAACUCCUAUUGAAGCCAGUUGUCUAGAAAGUAUGCCAAUUCCAUAUUGUGGACUACCCAAAGAGAGGAUAUUAAUCGAACAUCUGAUUCUGCUACCUGCUUUCAUUUAACCCUGCAUCUGUAGACUAAGCCCAGGACUACUUACAGGGCUCAACUAACUACAACAGGUCUAAAAGCUCAUGCAAAUGAGGAAAAAAAAAGGAAAGAAAGGAAAAAGAAAGCAAGCCUAUCUCCCAAAAAUUGUGAGAAAAAUCUAACAUAGUUAUAUUACCAAUGCGUUCAUAGCCCCUGCUUUGAAGUUAUGAUGAUGCUGAGGUCUCUUCUCUCGUGCCAUAUACACCAAAGUUGGUAAUGCAUUUCCAUCACUGUCUAUUGAACCUUGGUCUCUCCCAUCAAUUAUGAUCUGCAAAAAGCAACAAAGAAAAGCAACAUAAUUAGCUCUAGUGAGACAGCUCUAAUCGCCCCACAUUUGAAGGAUGGGCACAACCUCUAAACUAUAGCUUAGUUCAGUUCGUCCAUAAUUUAUGCUGUACAGAUCCAAAACACCUUUUAUGAUUUCACCAAUUACAUUUCCUACUCUACCAGUAUAUUAGAUUCCUUUCUAAGACACGAACCAAUAGGCUCUUCCUACAGUCCAGCAUAGAGUUUAAACAACUAGUUUAAUUUUCAUAAGAAAACUUUAUAACUUGAAUUCAUGUCCCAAUUAUCCCAUUCUAAAAUAAUUCAAAAUUCUAUGCAAUAAGGGUUUUCUCCCAAUAAGGUCUUGUUUUGUUCUUCCAGUACCAAGUGUAGUAGUACCUGAACGAUGGGUGGAUGAUUCCGUGAAGUCAUCUCCGAGCUCCAUUCAGAAAAUCCUUUAUUUGCUUUGAGUUCUUCAGGGAUCUUGCCUAGCAUUACCACCGAAUCGAUGCGAUCUGCCAUCUCUUCAUAUAGAUUCUGAGAAAUGGGAAAAUAUGAUGACAAAUUAAAUAGAAACAAGUUGUUGGCUUGUUUUAUGCCAAUUUACUACAAGCACUCCUUUCACUGAACAAAGCUUUUUUCAAACACCGAAUUAGAAAUUAAGGUUGACCAUGUGCCGGCUAAUGGGUCAAUAUUUAUAAAAAUUGAGCCAUGCCACUUGGUCAUACUAUUACCUUCAUGAAAGACCAUUCGGUAGGGAUGCAUGCAUCGCGGGGGUCGCAUAAUUUGGAAAAAUAGGCAGCUGGCGACCGUGGCUCCACAUUAUAUUUCUUGCAAAAUGGAAGCCAAUACUUUGCAAAGUGAGAUGCUUCCCAAAGGGCGUAGAAGGUCAGAACAGACCCAGCAUCAUCAGAGAGAUAGACAUUUAGUUUCUCGGGAGGGUAAUUGUAAGCCAUGGUUGAGAGGACAGUGGAGAUGACUAGGAUGGGUGGCUCUGCAAUAGGGUCAGCAGUGCACACGAAUAUGUCCACGUUUGGUAACUCAGUUUCAUCUCUGUUUCCAAAGACAAAAAUAAGAAAAUUAUACAUCAAUACAACUUGUGAUGCAUAUGAAUGCACAUUUUACAUCCGUCAUGAUUUUUUUUUUUGAAUGCAUGGAUCCUGGAGUAGAAUAGAAAUGAUAUAACAUAGAAUAUUUUUUUCUACAAAAUUAAGAAUGCGACAAAGCUUGGCCAAAACCAAGUAAGGGCUAGAUCCAAAUGCAGAUCAUUAGUAUCAAUAUAUGAUAAUUUGCCUAGCUAAGUUAGCUAGCACCCUUAUGAUAUAGCAUGAAAUUGUAUUCCCCUUGUAAGACCUUAUUUUUGUCCUUCUCUCUAGGAUUUUUUUUUUCUGAAUGGAGGGAUGAAAUAUUUUUGGUCCUAUCCAAGUAAAGUUUUGGGAUAAACAUUUUUCGCCCAGGACCAUUCUUUUUUAAAUUUUGUAGUAGUGUGUUUUCAAAUUUUGAAGCCUAAAAUAUGGUGCUCCAACAUUUGUUAAGAGUAAUAUGCUUAUAGAUUCAAACAUAGCUAAAAAUUUGGGUUUCAAACUUAUUUGAAACGUUUUGCAUGGUAAGAUAGGAUUUGAACUGGUUGGCAUCCUCUUCUUAUUGGGCAGGUAAAAUCAUUGAUUUUUGUCACCAAUGUUCUUGGUAUAAUUGUACUUUUAUUGUAACAUGUGGCAGACUUUUUUUUCCCCUACUUUUAAAAGAAUAAAAAUUUAUGCAAGCUAGACUAAAAGUAUGAGCAAAAAUAAAACAAGAAUGGGUUAAAACUUAUUAAUUUUGUCCGCAAAUUGAUUUUGAUGGGACUUGUUAUGAGAUAUUUUUAUUAAAAAAAUUAUAUUAUAGACAAAAAUAAAAUAAAAAGAAAAAUAAAUUUAGGUUAAUAUAAUAGUAUUAGGUCUGUCUGUUGUACAGUAAAUUUUAUUUUGAUUCGAAUAUUACUUGAAUUAUUUAAUAAAAAUAAUGUUGAAAAUUUAGUAAUAUUUUUAUAUAAAAUUAUUUUCAACUAAAUAUAAAAAUAUUUUUUAAUAUUGAUUUUCAGAAUAAAUUUUACAUCAGUAAAAUAUUAUAUACUUCAUUUUUUUCUCUAAUUAUUUUUAAAGAUAAAUAAUUUUUAAAAAAUAAAAUAAAUUUGAUUUACUUCGGCCGACCAAAUUGUACAAAUCUGAUGGCCGUCACGUUAUUGGAGAGGUACAGCUGUCCAUUGUACCACGGAAUCCGACAAAUUUAUGGUCUUGUUUAGCAACCGUCGUCUUCACGAGAGACUGAUAUGAUAGCUAUCAAGAAAUUUACAGGGCAACAGACUGACGCAUGGCAGAGAAUUCGAGACGCUUAAACCAACUUGACGUCGACCAGGUCGCCGCCUAUCCCAGCCUGAACCCAUCCCCCAACUCUCUCGGCCGCUACCCACUCGGCAUUCUGCUGGCCCACCCGUCCGUCCAUCAAUGAUUCUUAUUUCACAGAAACUAUAAUUCAUAACAUCAGGUCUCAUGAAACUUUGGAAACUGAAGCAGUAUCCCCUAGAAACUCAAUCCAUGGCGGCAUAGCUUUGAAAGCUCCAUUUUUUUUCUUUUUGCUUAUCAAAGAAAAAAAAGAAAAGAAGGGACGGCUUAAAUGUUGGUAAACGAUUCCCUCCAAGAUAAAUUCUUUACCAGCAAAGAUUACUUUAGCGAGAACGCUAAAUUAUAUGUGGGUAAAAGACUAGUUAAGUGUAGACCGAGCAUGAUAUGUGGGCAUGUUCUUUCUUUUUUUCUUAAAAAAAUAAACGGAAGAAGCUAAGAAAUAUGCGGGCAUGUCAAUUAUGAAUGAGAAUUUUACCGCUGAGAGAGCUUCUCGGUGUGAGUGAAACGAUAGAUGGGGUUCCAGCGCACCGACUGAGUGAUGAUCCAGUAGAAGCCGAACCAAAGCUCGGCUGCAAAUAUCCCCAUCCAUGCCCAUCUCCCUUCUUCUCCCCAUCUCGGGACAUGAGUCGCUCUAUAGAACCAAAUCGAACAAAUGCCCGCCAGCAUCGAGCAUGCAAACAACUUGUAAGCAAACCUACCUUUGGCUUGCUUUGUUUCAAAGAGAGCUUCAUAACUCUCUGCCAUCUCUCUCUCUUCCUCUCUCUCUCUUUGUGUCUCUCGCGUUUGUAGCCGUGAGAUAAGUUGGUUAUAUAUAGAGCGUGGUAGGAGACAAAAUUUAAUAUGGCCACAGGUCAGAUUAAUAAAUACUUAUUCGACAUGGAUAGUAAGUAAAUAAUUUCCUUCACGAGAGUGUGGAUAACAAUUCUGUGGUGAGGCCUUCUCAAAAUCUUCAAUGAUGAGCUCAAUCUAUGGCCCAUACAGGGGCGGCCCAAUACAUUUGGGGGCCUAAGGCGAAUCCAAUGAAUANNNNNNNNNNNNNNNNNNNNCUAUGGUAGCAGAAAAUGUGACCAAAGAAUGGAUUUUAUGAAAAAUUCAUUCAUAAGGGUUUGGUUAUGAUGGUUUAGUAAUAUAGUGAUCGUGGAAGGUUAUACGCCAAUCAAAUAGGUGUUAUUUCCGCCAUGGUUCGUAUUAUUAUUCUCAAAGUAGUCAAACAUAAAGUUUGCCCGACUUGAUAUCAGAAUAAAAGGAAUAUGCGUAUAAAGAUUAUAAAAUUCAAGUGCUAAGGAUAUUUUACUUGUCAAUAUGGUCCAAGUGGGAGAAUGUUGGGAUCCCGUCAAGUUGUGGCCCACAUUGACAAAUGGCGUCAAUAUGGUCCAAGUGGGAGAAUGUUGGAUCCUAUUUAAUUAAACCCUGAUCCCGUUUAAUUAGAACCCACAUCUUGACAAGUGUCCCUUGAAUUUCGUAAAUCUUGAUAAUCACAAGGGCAUUAAGGUAUUUUCACAGCAGUGAAGGGUUACCUUGAUGGGGGGUGACUCUUCACGGGUGUAACCACCUGCAGCGUUUGGUCCCUGGAGAGGGCUAUAAAUAGCCUGUUAGACCCCUUCUCUAAAGCACUCAUUAAGAGCUCUCUCUCCAGAAGAUCUCUCGCUAAUCUUUGUUCAGAUCAUCGGUGGUCGAGGCUGCGCACGCAUUCCAAAGUUUAAUCCGGAUGGAUAUAGCGACACAAGGUAUGAUUUAUGAAUUAUUAAAGUUAAUCAUUCCAUCAACAGCUCCAUAAAGUUAAUGGCAUCAAAGAUGCCUACCGAAGAGCUAACUUGAGCUUGACAUUCACUUAAGGUUCGGUAAAUGGAAAUAAUAUUCCCCUUAUGUACAACAUAGAAUGCAUUAACAUCCUCCAUUGACAGCCAAGGAUCUACUUCUGGCUGAAACAAACCAGUUAUGCAUAAAGCAAAGAAUAGCUAAACAUAAGCUUAUCAACAGAAAUUUUAAUUUAUAUCCACCAAAUACCAACAUGCAAAUGCCUCGACUAUGCUGUAGACAGAGCCAAACAAAGAACCUCCAAGAUGAUUCAUCUUUUGUGAAAAACAUUGUCGACCAAACUUAUCUCAGUUGGUAGCAUCCCACUCGUCAAGGCAGACAUCCCAAGUUUGACUCAGGAUGAUACUCCCACUGUAUUUCUCAAGAAAAUAUUUUUUUGUGAGAAUAUCAAUGAAGCAUUUGUGCAUCAAAUGCAGUUCAUCAAAGAGUUUCGAUUUGUUAUCUUGUUAAGACGAGGGAAAUUGAGAUUAAAAUCAUACGAAAGUGUAAUUUGAUCUAAUCAAGGGGUGAUAAUUUGCAGCUAUUUUGAAUCUGCUGAAAAGGUAUCCAUGAAAAUGGAAUCUCAAAGGUAGUAUUUUGUUCGAUAAAAAAUGGCAUACUUUCUAGUAAAACAUAUUGAACUCCCUCCACUCAUUCAUCAGCAUCCCAGAGAAACAAGUUAUGACCUACUGGUCAAUUAUAAAUACAGUAUGACAGUACAAGAUCAGUAUACUAUAAAUCAAAGCAUUUACUGAAAACUGACAAAAUAUUUACUAAAACAUGAUUUCUGGAAACAUAAAGUUAGAGUGGUAUCAGUAUAAGUAUCCACUUUUUAAUUCCUAUCAACUACAAUUUAUAAAAACUUUCUGUUAUGGCCACAGCAGACACAAGAAACUCGGAUAAUAAUUAUAAAAACAACGCCUAUUUUCUUAUGCAGAUGUCAUGGUCAAAAACACUAGCUAUACCCCCGAUUUCCAAUAAUGCAUUUGAACGAUUGUCACUGAUUUGAUUGGACUUCGUAUCCAAGGCCCCAUACAUGGUCUUACGACUUUUCGGAGACCUAGGGGAAGGGCGGGAAGAGCAAUUAAAGUCAUUUUUCUAAAUUCAUCUGUUUCUAAGUAUACCCAUUCCUAGGGCCCUCGGAGGGUGGUCGGAUCACUAGACAAGAGAGGAACGAACUGAACCAAUACUCGAAGAGAGAAAACGAGAGUGAAGGUCCUUUUUCUCGUUGACUGGCCCUUGUUGCAAGUUUAGAAGCAGAUUUCAAUUCUAUUCCUUUUUCUUCCUUUUCAGCCAGUCUUUCUUACUUUAAGGAUUUCUGGGGAAGGCCGCCUAACUAACUUGAAUCAUUAAUCAUAUAUUUUAUUUACGAUACCAAGAAAUUAGGAAAGCCGUCCCUCUUCCAUUCGGAGCAAGCAUCGUAAUCGUACCGCUAUAAAACUUUUCAUAGGAGGAAAGGUCUCCUCUACUGUCCAUUCGCCUUCCUUGGUGAGUCCGGUUUUCUGUGCUACGUUAUUCUUAGAUCCAGCGAAAUCAUUGGUUUCAGAGUCCACUGUCUUUGUUGUCUCAAUGAACACAAACCCGAUUGUAAACUUUAAUGUUUAGAAACCAUCCCAUCCCCUGAUAUCCCGAAAGUUCCCGAGAGAAUAAGACCGCAUUGAGAAAACAAAAGAGCAGAUAAAGGAGCAAAGUCCUCUCUUUCAACUCUAGCCAUUCUUGGCUUGGUCACAUGCAACCAUCAAGAAAGAAUGGAUUGAAUUGGACCUAAAAAAGCCAUUCAGGUUCUUUUGCAGACCUCGAAAUCUCAUCGCGAACAAUUUGACGCUGCUAUCUAUUUGAUAUUGAUAGAAGAAUAUCCUAUAAAAGAUGGGAAGGGGAGGGGGUUCGGGUGAGAGGCAUCAGACGCUAGCUCAGAUGAUAAGACGUAGCAGCUGUUAGCUUUUAGCUUCUUCAAUGUCUUCCCUCUCAUAGAUGAGGAGACGCGGACGUUAAGACAUGUAACAAGAGUUAGAUAACAAGAUACCCGAUACUACAUUCUGAGGGCUAACUUCUAAAGCAAUCACGGUAAGUUCACUUCGGGAAUCAAUACAAUAAGAUCUAAUUUUUUUGGAAUUUGAAAUAAUGUGAUGGGCGAACGACGGAAAUUCGCUGCUUUUCCCAGGCCGGAGAAGGGCAACACAUUAAUAGGUUGGUUAAUUGCCCACAAUAUCUCAAAGUCGCUUGAUGGCCGAAGCACUCCCAAGGCGGCGUUGGAAAUCAAGACCAGCUCAGAGAAUCACUGGAGAGAGCUCAGAAAGCGAAAACACAAAGGCUCCGGCUGAGAUCGCCGGAUAGGUGGGAGAGCCGUGCUUCUCCACGCCCAACGAGAUGCGCACUAAAAUAUGUCUAUGGUUAACUAAUUGCCUAGCUCCAGGAAUGGUCGAAGCCAUACCCAAUCGAAAAAGGAUGUUAUAUUCCAUUCUUUGGUCUGUAAAAUCCCUACUCUUCUUCUUUUUCUUAGCCAUCAAUGAUUAGCCUGUCCCCAGCCCAAGUUAAGUAUAAACAGUCCGAUUUUGAUCUGAAUUGUCUGCGGAAAGAAAUUGUGGGCCCCAGGAAUGGGUAUACUUAGAAAUAGAAGUCAAUCCUGAUUUCCGGUUAGUAGGAUGGAGCUAUACGCAAGCCAAUGCCAAGUGCUUUGACUUUUUAAAAAAAAGAGGUUUCAAUCUCAGGCCUUAUUUCUUUGGGGAUGAGAGGAGUGCUCUCUGAACUCACUCGAUAAUCGGGCGUUAGAGCGAUCCCUGCCGCUACCGAUUUCGGGUCUAUUAGUUGCUUCUUCCCUAGUCUCCAUAGCUAAAUGGCGAUACCCCCUGCAGUUACCUCUAAAAGGAAUGAUCUCGGGCAUCAAUCUAAAGAGAGUUUGCCACCAUUCUCUUUCUUUCCUCAAUCGUUCCGACCUUGAGUCAAAACAAUCUCUAUACUCUUCCAGCAAUUCUCAAGUCGUAGCCCGUCACCGUCUAUCGAGCAGGGUGGGGAAGAGGAAUCGACGAAGAAUCCAGUCAUCAGUCUGCAGGGAAUAGGGUAGGUUAUAUAUAAAGUGAGAUUGAAGCAAGAAGAUCUCCGAUGAAGAAGCUCCGGGAGGAGAGGGAUGUCAAGGGAUUGCUGAGACCUCAGGUAGCAGAACAUUUAUGUGGCACGGCCGGUGUACCUCCAAAGAUGGGUUAUUCAGGGGUUGAAAGUUUAGAUUUACCUAUUUUUUUCAAUUAAAUAGCUCAAAAAUAGGUGGAGUUCGCGUGGAUAGAGGACGUCGUGCACGGACGAAAGAUCAUUGAUAGCAGAAGAGUACGCUAGCUAGCUAGCGUAGCCUGAAAACACUUGCUAGGCUACGACGUUCGCCUACUUUGAUAGGCAACGCAUUGCAAGCAAAUAUCCUUUACGGGUCCUUUUCUUUCUUUUCCUUGGGUGUAGUGUCACACCCGUCUCCUAUAAGACUCUCAAGGGGUGAUGAGCCAUCCGCAAUAUGGUAGCAGUAAGCGCGCGUACUCCUUCUGCGAGACUCCAUCCAAAUCCGCAUACUUCUUCAGUCGAAUGCUCCUCUGGGCAAAAGGAAGAAUCAUUAAUCCUUAAUGUAACUAGAUAAGGUAACAAAUGUUAUUCACACGCGGAAGACAGUGAGCUAGGUUAGUUAGCGAGCUCCUAACUAACCUAGCGAACGGAACAGGAACUCUUUUCGUUUAGGGCGAAUGCGGCCUAAUUUAUAAGGCGAGAGCUAAAACCCAUGCAGUCUGAAAUCUGUAUCCGAAGGGGACAGACUUGUCGGCAACCAACUUCACUCCAGUUGGUUCGGAUAGGCUGCGACCUUACAUGAAUUGAAUAGAUGCAUUUCACGGAAUUCUGAAAUUCCGCUUCGACACCCUCUCGAAGAAGUGGUUCUCAAACCGGAACCAGAACUCUUGGAUCAGCCCGACAUUGACGGGGGGUAAAGGAUGCUAGGCUUUUAGCUCUGUUAGAUCGUUAGCUCAUUCGCUCGCUGAAAUUCUGGAAAACCGGAUUUCAGAGUAUAGGAAUAUUCCCCCUGAGGGGGACGUGUUCUUCAUGUAGCCUUCAGACCGAAUGAGUUCAGAAGUAGCUGCUCUCCUAGCUGCACAAGCACACCAUGGGCACCCAUUCUCAACCACCUGUUCAGGCUGCUGAAGGAAACUAACCAAACCAAGCGAGGAGUAAUCGAAUGUUGUUCGACUUUCUAGAGCGUUUAGCUGCAGUGGUUGCUGUUGAAACUGACAUUCGAACGGUUGACUCAGUAAAGUUGACCGUCUUCCACGCGUAGCUGUGCCCGGCCGAGGGGACUUUUUCCCCAAUGAAAUGACCCAAGCCACCACACAAUGCAAGGCUAGUGGUAUCAGUUGAGUGAAUCGGUCGAAUCUUGCCCACCAAGCGAGCCCUUUAAUUCAAUUCUUCAUUCUUUAAUUAAGAAUUAAUCAAAUCUCCGAGGUACCUGCGAAUGCUUAUGGAUGGAAACUGGCCAUCCGCCGAGAGUUUCGGGUUUAAUACCGAUAUUUUAGCAACAAAUCAUUUCGACAGAGAAAGUACGAUCUGCUUAGAUUUCCAACAAGUCUCUCUUUUUUUGGGGGUAGCAGACAAAGAAUAAAAAAAAAAUGCUUUCGUCCAUCUGGCCUAGUCGAAGAUUUCGAAAUACGACUUUUUUAACCGUAUAGUUCCAGCGCCAAAGCCGUCGAAAGGUAACUGAUGCAAAGAAGGAAAGGUAACUGAUGCAAAGAAGGAGCUGUUCAAGUGAGCUUAUUAGUGGCACGCUUUCGAAUCGGUGAGCAGUUCAGUAAGCAAAGUAGUUCGGGUGAGGAGGGUUUGGCGAAGAUUUGUUCCACUUUUGGAAGACCUUGUGUUAUGUCACCAGAUCUCGAUUUUUCAUAUACAAAUGUAACUAAUGUAUCUCCUUCGUAAAGGAUUUCUC
rnacentral:lncRNA from 1 species